rnacentral:rRNA from 1 species
AACGAACGCUGGCGGCAUGCCUAACACAUGCAAGUCGAACGAGACCGUCGGGUCUAGUGGCGCACGGGUGCGUAACGCGUGGGAACCUGCCCUUAGGUUCGGAAUAACUCCCCGAAAGGGGUGCUAAUACCGGAUAAUGUCUUCGGACCAAAGAUUUAUCGCCUUUGGAUGGGCCCGAGUUGGAUUAGCUAGUUGGUAGGGUAAAAGCCUACCAAGGCGACGAUCCAUAGCUGGUCUGAGAGGAAGAUCAGCCACACUGGGACUGAGACACGGCCCAGACUCCUACGGGAGGCAGCAGUGGGGGAUAUUGGAAAAUGGGCGAAAGCCUGAUCCAGCAAUGCCGCGUGAGUGAUGAAGGCCUUAGGGUUGUAAAGCUCUUUUACCCGGGAUGAUAAUGACAGUACCGGGAGAAUAAGCUCCGGCUAACUCCGUG